CGCCGUCGGGUACCAAAUUAACAGCACAAGAAUUUUAGGUGUUAUAGUUUGAUGGCCGAUCGAAGCUCUGCUGCCACAAAGCCGAUAUGGAUGAAACAAGCGGAAGAGGCCAAGCUGAAAAGUGAAGCAGAAAAAGAUGCGGCUGCUAAAGCGGCUUUUGAAGCCACAUUCAAAGAUGUUGAUAAGAGUCGUAACAAGGAUGUGGAGGCAGCUUCAUCGGAUAGUGAGUCUGAGGACGAGACCAGUGACUUGGUGGACAAGCCAAUUGGACCUGUGGAUCCUUCCAAGUGCAUGGCAGCAGGGCCCGGAAUAGCGGGUGGCACAGCCUGUGCAGCCUCAACAUUUAUGGUCGUAACUAAGGAUGCAGAUGGGAGGAAAGUACAGAGUGGGGGUGCACAGAUUAAGGUAAUAGUUUCGCCAGGUGUUGGUGUUGGGGGAUCAGAUCAGGAGGGCAUUGUGAAGGAUAUGGGAGAUGGGACCUACACUGUGACUUAUGUGGUGCCGAAGAGAGGGAACUAUAUGGUAAACAUUGUGUGCAAUGGGAAACCGAUCAUGGGUAGUCCAUUCCCUGUGUUCUUCAGUGCAGGUUCUUCUACUGGAGCUGUACUAGGAGUGGCUCCUGCAUCCACGUAUCCAAAUCUAGUAAAUCAAACAAUGCCCAACAUGCCAAACUAUACAGGAUCUGUUUCUGGAGCUUUCCCUGGCUUGUUGGGAAUGAUCCCAGGCAUUGUAUCUGGUGCUUCAGGUGGUGCUAUUCUGCCAGGAAUGGGGGCAUCUCUUGGGGAAGUUUGUCUGGAAUACCUCAGUGGCCAUUGUGCUAAAACUGAUUGCAAAUUGAACCAUCCUCCCCACAAUUUGCUGAUGACUGCUUUGGCAGCAACAACCAGCAUGGGAACUCUCAGUCAGGUUCCUAUGGCACCUUCUGCAGCUGCAAUGGCUGCAGCUCAGGCUAUUGUUGCUGCUCAAGCCCUUCAAGCUCAUGCUGCUCAGGUGCAAGCACAAGCACAGUCAACCAAAGAUUCAUCGGAUUCUCCUGACAAAGCUGCAAAGGGUGAUUCAUUAAAAAAAACCUUACAAGUUAGCAAUCUUAACCCACUUCUCACCGUGGAGCAGUUGAAGCAGCUUUUUAGCUUCUGUGGUACAGUUGUUGAGUGUACAAUCACUGACUCAAAGCAUUUUGCUUACAUAGAAUAUUCAAAACCUGAGGAAGCAACAGCUGCUUUGGCAUUGAACAAUAUGGAUAUUGGCGGUCGGCCAUUAAAUGUGGAGAUGGCCAGAACUCUUCCUCCGAAGCCAGCUACUUCGUCAACGACUUCUUCUUCUCUGCCUUUAAUGAUGCAGCAAGCUGUUGCCAUGCAACAGAUGCAAUUUCAACAGGCUUUGCUUAUGCAACAAACAUUGACUGCUCAGCAGGCAGCCAACCGAGCUGCAAGCAUGAAGUCUGCAACAGAUUUAGCUGCAGCAAGAGCUGCAGAAAUAAGUAAGAAGCUAAAAGCUGAUGGGUUUGUUACUGAAGAGAAUGAAACCAAGAGUAAAUCUAGGUCACCAUCCACUUCCCGUGCAAGGUCAAGAUCCAAAUCAAAAUCACCCCUUAGUUAUCGGAGAAGAUCAAGAUCCAAGUCAAGAUCACCAAUUGUUUAUAGGGGAAGGUCAAGGUCCAAAUCAAGAUCAUCAAUCAGUUAUAGACGAAGAGGGAGAUCUCGCUCUUAUUCACCUCUGCCUCGUUUCCGACGUGAUCGUAGGUCCCGGUCACCUGUGCGGUGUCAUCAUCGUUCAAGAUAUGAAAGUGAACGACGUUCUUAUAGAGAUAGGGAUGACAAUGGAAGGCGUAGCAGACGAGAUACAGAGAGAUCACGUGAUAAUCAUUUGUCUAUUUCGAGGAGAAAUAGGAGUACUAGUCCUCGAACUAGAAAAUCUCCUCCUGUAGAUUCUGACUCCCCAAAGCAGAGCAGAGAAAGUUCACCUAAUCUUAGGAAAUCAUCUUGUCCUGGUUCAGCAUCACCAGGGCAUCAGAGAAGAAAUAGGUCAUCCCCUAAGAAUGAUGAAAGAAAAUCAAAAUAUAGAAAGCGCUCUAGGUCGAACUCUUCUGAUUCGGAUAACAAAAAGAAAGAAAUCCCGGAUGAAAAAACAAAACACAGCAGUAGACAGCGAUCCCGGUCAUUAUCUUCGGAAGGUAGACAUCAAAGAAGAAGCAGGUUUUCAAGUUCAGAUGAAAACAAUUCAAAACACAGAAGGCGGUCCAGAUCAGUUUCUGUAGAAGGCAAGGUUCGCUCGAACAGUAAAACUGAUGAAGUGAGAAAAGAUGAAUCGAGACAUAGUGAGAAAAGGAGGUCCCGAUCAGGAUCUGUUAAAUGUAGGCAUUAUGCCAAAGAGAGGAGUGAAAGAAAUCGAGAUAAGAAUUCUAAGCAUCGAGAUAGAAGGUGUUCGAGAUCAAGAUCUGCUGAUGGCAAGCAUCGAGAUAGAAGGCGGUUGAGGUCAAGAUCUGCUGAUGGCAAGCAUCGGGAUAGAAAGCGGUCAUGUUCAAGAUCUGCUGAUGGCAAGCAUCGGGAUAGAAAGCGGUCAAGGUCAAGAUCUGCUGAUGGAAUGCAUCACAGAGGAAGCAGGCAGCCACCCCGAAGUUCUGAUGAAAAUAGAUCAAAACACCAAAGGCAUUCCAGGUCAAAGUCUACUGAGGGAAAACAUCGUUCUGUUGAUAAAAUAGAUGAAAGAUCAAAAUGUCGUGACAAGAAGCAUUUAUUAUCCGCUGAAGCAAGGCCUGCUAGAGGAAGCAAAUCUUCUCCGAGAAGUUCUGAAGACAAUGAUUCAAGGCCCAGAAGCCGUUCGAGGUCAAAGUCAGCUGAAGGGGAUGAUGGAAUUUUGGUUUCAAAAGGGGAGGCAUACGGCUCAAAAGUUUCAGUAAAUGAUGAUCAGGAACUGAAAAGCAAAUAUUUACCAAAGUUUGGCAGUGAUAAACAACUCUCUCCAAGUAGCAGAUUGAAUGCAGAUGAGCAAAACGAACUUGAAAAAUCAAGUAGUAAGCAGUGGCAUGAUAGUAAUGGAUCAGAAGAUCAUUCCACUUCACCUCGGCGGAAAUGAGUCAUUGGCUCUGUGUGCUACUGAGCCUUGGGGAUUUUUGAGACAAGCAGUUCCAAGUUGUCUGAGUGCUCAGUCUCCAUUUUAGCCAUGAUUCAAUCCAAGCUUGUUCAGAUCAGAUAUGAACAAGUUAUUUAAGUUUAAUGAGAGCUUUUAGCUCCCAUGUGAACGAACAGCAGCUCACUUAAGACAUUGCUUAGUGUUUCUUUUGGUGCUUGGACUUUUCAGACAUUUGUUGUUGCUUCAUAAAUGUAUGCCAUUGUGCUCUUUUAUCCUUUGCAGGCAUGUGGAACAGAUUGGCAUUGGUCUUUGAGCUCACGUUUACAAUGGAUAAAGUAUUUCAAGCAGUGUUCUGCUUUCUUCUGCAAUCAACCGUGCAAUGUUUGUAGCAAGCUUCUUUUACUGCUAUAUGUUUAUACAUGGUGUUCCUGUUGGACCUAUCAGUGAUCAGUUUGGAGGGUUGAUUUUUAUUUGAUCUAUGUGAAGGAAAUUUAAUAUCCGAGCUACUUUAAGGUCCUGUGUAACCAGACUCCAUGGGGAUGAGUAGCGUCUAUUUUUGAGCCCCAUAGCCAGAUCGGUUGAUCACUUAAAAAAAAUUUCAUGGUUUUUUCACAGGUAAUCUUUCAUGACACCACUUGGUUGAGUUUUUUAUAUGGUAGUAAAUGUUAAGUUACAUUUGGUUGCAUUUGUACCCUAGAUAUUAAUGCUCUGGCUGUGGUACAUAGAUGCCGGUUGAU